rnacentral:tRNA from 1 species
GGGAAACUGCCUCUCAGUGGGAAAGAAAUAUUGGCAUCUUUUAUUUCAAUUAUAUAUGUCUGAAAAGAACUAGGAAAGGAAAAGUAAGUAUGAAUCUAGUGGCGAGGCAUAGAAAAGGAGGGCAGAUUAAUUAUAUCUUGAGCACAUAAACAAAAAGAAUAAGGAAAAGAGUAAAAAUAUCCAUCUUUUGUGCAUAAAGACACUGAAAACCUAGAAGCAGCUUUAGCAGGGGUGGACUGCAGAGAAUCCAGGGUUAAUAAAACACCAUUCUAGGCCAGCUAACUGGAAGUAUCCAUAUCUGCAGAAUUGCAGUUGAAAGAUGCACAGAUUUGAGGUGAGAGGAACUUUGAAGAAUCACAAAAGCCAGGAGUUCCCUGGUAGCCUAGUGGUUAAGGAAUGGCAUUGUCGCUGCUGUGAGGCAGCUUGAUCCCUGCCCUGGGAAGUUCCGCAUGCUGAGGGCACAGCCAAAAAUUAAAAAUAAAAAUAAAAAGAAUCACAAAAGCAUGACAAGGAGGGAUCAAGUAAUUACUUCUGAAGAUGUGCGAAAGACUUCUUACUGAGACUUCACUUUUCUAGCUUGGAAUGGAGAAGGCUGGGACCCUAUGGUAAAACUCCCCUCAAACCCACUUUCAUUCACUCAGACCUUGUGACCUUGAGCCUCCAGGGAGUGAGAAAUGAUAACAGGACAGAAAAAAAAUCAUUUUGGACUAAUGACUAUCUGAUAUUGGUUGCCACUAGGUUUGAAGAUGUUUGAUGCCAAAAUCCUUUCAAGUUUAAACAUUUCUGGACAGAUCCUCUUAUAAUUCUAGUUCACUUCAUCUGGCACUCUUGACUGAAAAUUCUCCAAACUGACUGGGACCUACAUUCAUUGAUCCCACCAUCUUUUCAAUGCAUAACUAGUACCUCCAGCUUUCAUCCUGUGGAAUUUACAGGCAUAUUCUGAAAAAAUAUCUUCCGAUUAAAUGCUUUUUUUUUCAGUAGAAAAUUCUUAUUUUGUACACAUACUGAAUAUCUUUCAGUAAAGCUUAUAUUUUUAACAGACAACGAUAUAUACUUACGUUUCCAAAAUGCAAUAUAACAUUAUAAACAACCAAAAGAUACAUUCUAAAUAUAAUUGAUAGAAUGUCAGAACUACAUGUAAGCAUACUGAAGAUCAGUUUGUAUAGGAAUGGAAUGAAAAGUAAAUAUACUUUUAAAUAUAAGGCAAUCAUUAGUUAUCACCAAGUAAUAAUUUUAAGCUUUUUCAUCCAAACAAGAUAACUUCUACUUAUUUACAGGCAUUUUACUAAGUUUGGUAUUGUUUAAGGAAAAUGGUUGGGAUUUUAGGGUUAAUGUUUCUUUAGGGUUUCUCUUAGUGUUAUCAUUCUUUAUACAUGUUUUUCCUUUAAACAAAAUAAGAUACAGGCUCUUGGUUAGCUGCUUUGCACAAAAUAUCUGACUUUCUGAAAUGAAUUGCUAAUUAAAUGAGAGUUCUCACAUUUCCUCACCAUCAAGUAUCCAAUGUCCAAGUUAACACAAUAUAUAUUAGUUUUUCUAUUAUGGCACCCCAUUAAAGGCUGAAAUGUCUGUGUUAGGGGAAUCCUAGUUACUAAAACAAACACACAUCAAGAUUUCAAUGAUUUACAAACAAACAAAUAUUGCAAAGCUUGUCGUUAUAACAGUUGCAACCCCUGGUUUCUCGCUGCCUCUAUUUCUUCAGGGCCUCAUCAUCCCCUUUGCCAAAUUUUGUUCCACCUUUCUUAACACAAGUCCUAGCCUGUGGAUAAAAACUACCACUGGAUUUCCUAGCAAUGCUGGUGCUUCUCUCAGGCAACAUAUUCCUGAUGUGCUUCUUGAAUGCUAUGUCCUCUGGACCCUUUCAUAAAUAUCCCCUGGUGGGUCCUGUGGCUUCACAUGAUAUGCACAUUCCAACAGGCCUUUCAUCCCAUCCUCACCAUCUUCACUGUAACUCAGUCACUUCAACAUUACUCAGCAUUGGCUAUUGCUUUCUGCAGGCUUCUAGGAGCCACCAUCUCAGUGGGUUUGCCUAAUCCCCUUGAGUUCUUGCCAGAGUUAACGUCCUAAAAGAGUUCAUCCAAGUAAACUGUCUCUUGCUCAUCCAAUCUCAUGCCAAUGCCAUGAGUACUUCAUUGAGAAGCUCCAAGGAGUUUCAGAAUUCCCUAAGCACUCCAUGGUGGCUACCCAAAGGUUCACCAUGACAGGCAAGCUCCUGUUCAAAUACCAAGGAAGUCCCAAACAUCAAGGAUUCAUGGGAUGCUAUGUUUGUAGAUACAAGGGGAGUCACCACUCCAGGAACCAGUAGGAGGUGUAGUCAGAUAUCAGGAAAUCUGUGUCAUCAGGAACCCAAGUGGUGCUUGGUCCACAAAGGGCAUAACCCAGUUUUCAGGGAGCAACCAUCUUACUCAGAAGAGCAUGCUUAAGUCUCCAGCUCUGAGGCAGUGAGCACAGACUCCAACCUGAGCUCAGCAGCAAUAGGAAUGACCAAGUUGCAAAAAUGGCUUUGUGCCAAACAGGGGCCACCUGCUAACAAUGGGAGAAAUGUUAGUUUGCCAAUAUACUCAGAUAUUAUUAAGAAGAGGAGGAAAAUAGUCAAAACCCUAGGAAGCUGGAGAGGCAGAUAUGACAAGGAGUUAAACUCUGAAUUCAUUGAAUAAAUUACCCGAAAGGCACUCAUUUAGACUGAGGGAAAAAAUCUAAACGGGAAUUUAAUGACAUAUUUAAUCAUUAUUGUUUAUCUCCCAUUAGGGAAAUGGGGGGGGUUAUAUGUAAAAUAAUAUCCUUUGUUAAAAAUAAAGGAAGUUUAGAGCCCUGUGGCUUUCAUAUUUAUUCAUAUUCUUAUUCCCUUAAUAGCUUUUCCUUAAAUUCUUUUUUUUUAUGUUCACCUAUAAGAGGAGACUGUUAAAUAGGAAAAAUGAACCUAUUUUAUUUUCAUUUCCAAUAUUCGCUCUAGCCUUCCUCCAUUGAUAAGCACAUAUAGUUUUGGGAACCGACUCCAGAUUCAGGAAUGGUCCUAAUUGAUAAAACCAUUCAAAAUACCCAUUUCCCUUGCCAGUAACUGUUUGAGGAAACCAGAUCAAUCAUUGCAAGGUUUAUCCCCUGUAAGUGAGUUGUGUUAAACUAGAAUAUAAGGGGAAAAUGUAUUUUAUAGAUGCAAAGGAGGAGAUAUGCACAUGAGAGUCUUCGACUUACAGCAGCCUGUAGGGUAAGCCUGAUGGCUGAUUUUUCUUUUUUGAAAUUCAAGUGCCUGACUUAAGCUGUGAUUACACAGGCAUCCACUUCAAAGACAGAGCCCUCUCCCUCUCUUUCUCUCUCUCUCUCUCUCUCUCUCUCUCUCUCUCUCUUUCUCCAAUAAACAAACUGCCAGUCACAGGACUAGAUAUGGAGGCAAGCUGCCUCUCCUUCUCCCUCCCAGGAACCUUUGUUUUAGAACUCUUGUUUUUUCUAUAACUGGCCAUUUGGGCUCUUACUUUUUCUCUUCUUAACUCUAAAUUCUCACUCUUAGGUUUGACUCACCAAUACAGAGUGAGGCUUUAGAAACCCUGGGUGGGUCCCACCCUCAAUCCCAAUAAAAGCAGAAUCCCAGGCAGGGGCACCCUCUGUCUCUCUCUUCUCUUUCCCCUCAACCUCACUGUGUGGCCUCAGGUGUGCAAUGUAAUUUCCAGGACCUGUAAGUAAUAAACCUUUCUCUCUCUCUUUUUUUUUUUUUCUUUCAAAGUUUCUGAUGGUAUUGCUGAGGGUGUCUUGCAAUCAUAAUAAGAAACACAAGCCCUGGUAAUGCCAUAGCACUGGUUUUCCAUAGGCUGAGACUGGGAAAAACACAGCUAUUUUACCCCAGCAGAAAGACCUCAGAAAGAAAAAAAUGAGUGUUGUGUAAUGUGGACUAGAGAGAUAGAGGAAUCUGAAUCUUUAAGGCUAUAACUGAGCUGCUGAAUCUAACAAAUGUGAACCCAUACAACUUCUGAACAUUUGAUAUUUCCUACUGUUUAAAUCAGUGUGUGUCAGGCACUUUCUUUAAAUUUGGAGCCAGAAGCAUCCCAAUUGAUACACACCAAUGUGAAAGGUCAGUUUACAAUGUUCUUGCAGCCAGUGGUCCCUUUGAGUCAGUGUUAUCUCAGAUGGAAGACUUGUACUGCCAUUCGGCACGAAAGCUUCAACGGGAGUUUACAGGGACCAUUACUAAAAUAGCUAUAGCAAUAAUCACAAUAGUAGUCAGCUUGCCUCCUCAACCACUGAUGCUAUUUUGUAGCCCUCUUAUAAAGAACAGUGAAUUGUUUUUAUUGAAUUCACAUUCAUAAAAGAAAACAUUUUUUAAAUUGCAGAAGGGGAUGUUUUUCAGGAAGAGGGAAUAUUGCCUACUGACAAACUCACAAUAAUCUCCAAACCCUUCAUUCCAAUGAGAAAAAAAUUUUUAAAGAAAAUGAUAAUCAUACAAUGUCAUUACUCUUGUACUUUUCAUUCACACUACUUGCUAAAAGCCACAACAAAAGGGCUAUCUCCUCAAAUGGUCCUUUGUGGAGCUCAUUUGUAAUAUAUAAAAAUGGGUAGAAAUUAUAAGGCAUUGUAAAAAUAAAGAAUUUUAGAAAAAAAUGUUACAUAAAUCCACUAUAUCUAAUUAUUUUUAAAAGAGACAAGAAGGCAGGAAAGACCUAGAAGGUUUUUUUUUUUGUGUGUGUGUGUGUGUUAGUAGAAGAAAUAAUUACAGACAUGUUUGUUAAAAUCCUUCAUGUUAAAGCAGUUUGGGGGGUUUGGGGUUAGUAGAUGCAAACUAUUACAUUUAAAAUAGAUAAGCAAUGAGGUCCUACUAUACAGCACAGGGAAACUAUAUCCAAUCUCUUGGGAUAGAACAUGAUGGAAGAUAAUAUGAGAAAAAUAAUUUACGUAUAUAUAUGACUGGGUCACUAUGCUGUACAGUAGAAAUUGGCAAGAUAUUGUAAAUCAACUAUA